AGGAUUAACGCUGGCGGCGUGCCUGACACAUGCAAGUCGAACGAGGCCGCAAGGCCGAGUGGCGGACGGGUGAGUAACACGUGACCAACCAACCUCGAAGUUGGGAAUAGCUCUGCGAAAGUAGGGGUAAUACCGAAUGUGGCCCAGGGCGGGCAUCCGCCUUGGUCUAAAGAUUCAUCGCUUCGAGACGGGGUCGCGGCCUAUUAGCUUGUUGGUGAGGUAACGGCUCACCAAGGCGAUGAUGGGUAGCUGGUCUGAGAGGACGACCAGCCACACUGGGACUGAGACACGGCCCAGACUCCUACGGGAGGCAGCAGUGAGGAAUCUUCCGCAAUGGGCGAAAGCCUGACGGAGCAACGCCGCGUGUGGGAUGAAGACUCUAGGGUUGUAAACCACUGUCGGAGGGGACGAUCGUGACGGUACCCUCCAAGAAGCCCCGGCUAACUACGCGCCAGCAGCCGC
rnacentral:rRNA from 1 species